AAAAUUAGAAUAAGUUAUAUAACAUUUGGAAGAUUAACCCUAAGAGAGUCAUCAUUGCUUCUAAGAAAUUCGUUCACUCCAUUAUCUUUGCAAGUUGGUGUUUCUGUACAUUGAGAAAGUUGAAGCAAGCUUGAAUAUGAAAAAAUUAGUCAUUAUACUUCCAAGGAGGAGGUCUUCCGCUAUAUAUUGGCACUUCAUUCUCUUUUGGAAAAUCCUCCUAGAGACUAUCCUAAUAGUAUAAGAGAAGACCUUGUUAAGGGGUUUGUUAGGAUCUGUUUGUUGAUCAGGGAAGAGGGAAAGAUAUCACGCAAGCUUGUUGAGUGUAUUAAUACAUAUUUGUUAAAUGAUGGUCCAAAUUUGUGCGGUCAUUUGUUACAGAUUCAUACUGCUAUACAGCAAUUCAUGUUUCGUUGUUGGCUGGCAACACAUGAUCGAGUGCUUAAGGAUUCACUUAUAUUGUAUUCAAG